rnacentral:snoRNA from 1 species
AUCCCAUGAUCAGGGCAGGCGGCGACAUACUCCUGCAGGCACUCCAAAGCUUCAGGUAUCGACUCAUCCCUCGUCUGCUGGAAACUUGAAAUUCUUUCGUGAAGGGC